rnacentral:rRNA from 1 species
AGUGAACGCUGGCGGUAGGCCUAACACAUGCAAGUCGAGCGGCAGCACAGUAAGAGCUUGCUCUUACGGGUGGCGAGUGGCGGACGGGUGAGGAAUACAUCGGAAUCUACUUUUUCGUGGGGGAUAACGUAGGGAAACUUACGCUAAUACCGCAUACGACCUACGGGUGAAAGCAGGGGAUCUUCGGACCUUGCGCGAUUGAAUGAGCCGAUGUCGGAUUAGCUAGUUGGCGGGGUAAAGGCCCACCAAGGCGACGAUCCGUAGCUGGUCUGAGAGGAUGAUCGGCCACACUGGAACUGAGACACGGUCCAGACUCCUACGGGAGGCAGCAGUGGGGAAUAUUGGACAAUGGGCGCAAGCCUGAUCCAGCCAUACCGCGUGGGUGAAGAAGGCCUUCGGGUUGUAAAGCCCUUUUGUUGGGAAAGAAAAGCAGCAGGUUAAUACCCCGCUGUUCUGACGGUACCCAAAGAAUAAGCACCGGCUAACUUCGUG